rnacentral:rRNA from 1 species
CCUACGGGAGGCAGCAGUGGGGAAUAUUGGGCAAUGGGCACAAGCCUGACCCAGUAACGCCGCGUGAAGGAAGAAGGCUUUCGGGUUGUAAACUUCUUUUGUCAGGGAAGAGUAGAAGACGGUACCUGACGAAUAAGCCACGGCUAACUACGUGCCAGCAGCCGCGGUAAUACGUAGGUGGCAAGCGUUGUCCGGAUUUACUGGGUGUAAAGGGCGUGUAGCCGGGUUGACAAGUCAGAUGUGAAAUCCUGCGGCUUAACCGCAGAACUGCAUUUGAAACUGUUGAUCUUGAGUACUGGAGAGGCAGACGGAAUUCCUAGUGUAGCGGUGAAAUGCGUAGAUAUUAGGAGGAACACCAGUGGCGAAGGCGGUCUGCUGGACAGCAACUGACGGUGAGGCGCGAAAGCGUGGGGAGCAAACAGGAUUAGAUACCCCAGUAGUC